rnacentral:rRNA from 1 species
GACGAACGCUGGCGGCGUGCUUAACACAUGCAAGUCGAACGGUAAGGCCUUUCGGGGUACACGAGUGGCGAACGGGUGAGUAACACGUGGUGAUCUGCCCUGCACUUUGGGAUAAGCCUGGGAAACUGGGUCUAAUACCGAAUAGGACCAUGGACUUCACGGUUUGUGGUGGAAAGCUUUUGCGGUGUGGGAUGGGCCCGCGGCCUAUCAGCUUGUUGGUGGGGUAAUGGCCUACCAAGGCGACGACGGGUAGCCGGCCUGAGAGGGUGACCGGCCACACUGGGACUGAGAUACGGCCCAGACUCCUACGGGAGGCAGCAGUGGGGAAUAUUGCACAAUGGGCGCAAGCCUGAUGCAGCGACGCCGCGUGAGGGAUGACGGCCUCGGUGUAACCGUACUUCUAGCACAGACGAAGCGCAAGU